rnacentral:tmRNA from 1 species
GGGGGCGAAACGGUUUCGACGUGGGUUGUGACGCGAUCGAUGGCACGACCGCCGGCCCGUAACGGCGUAAAUACCGCGGGAACCAAGAGAAGCGAACGACAACGACGUUCCCUUCGCCGUCGCGGCCUAAGAACCCGUGACGCCGUGCCUCGAUGAGCCUGCCAGUGCUUAUCGAGGUGCGUAAAUGAACUCGGCUGGCUGCACAUCAAGGUACCCUGGAUGUGCGGCGAGAUUCAGGGGGUGCUGGUUGGGUGGAGUGCCUGCCGAUGAGCACGAUACCUGACGAGAACCGAUCAUCGGCUAUGUCGUGUAGAAGUCAUCGUUGAGCACUUGCGGACCCGGGUUCGACUCCCGGCGCCUCCACCC